rnacentral:rRNA from 1 species
GGACUACAGGGGUAUCUAAUCCUGUUUGCUCCCCUAGCUUUCGCGCCUCAGCGUCAGUUACGGCCCAGAAAGCCGCCUUCGCCACCGGUGUUCUUCCCAAUAUCUGCGCAUUCCACCGCUACACUGGGAAUUCCACUUUCCUCUACCGAACUCAAGCCUGCCAGUUCAAGGUGCGGCUGGGGGUUGAGCCCUCAGAUUUAACACCUUGCUUAACAAGCCGCCUACGCGCGCUUUACGCCCAAUGAAUCCGGAUAACGCUUGCUCCAUACGUAUUACCGCGGCGGCUGGCAC